GGGGCCGACCUGGUUUCGACGUGGGUUGCGAAGCAGCGGAGGGCAUACCGAGGACCCGUCACCUCGUUAAUCAAUGGGAAUGCAAUAACUGCUAACGACGAACGUUACGCACUGGCAGCCUAAGGGCCGCCGUCCUCGCACUGGCUCGCUGACGGGCUAGGGUCGCAAGACCAGCGAGGUCAUUUACGUCAGAUAAGCUUUAGG
rnacentral:tmRNA from 1 species